rnacentral:rRNA from 1 species
UGGGGAAUAUUGCACAAUGGGGGAAACCCUGAUGCAGCGACGCCGCGUGAGUGAAGAAGUAUUUCGGUAUGUAAAGCUCUAUCAGCAGGGAAGAAAAUGACGGUACCUGAGUAAGAAGCCCCGGCUAACUACGUGCCAGCAGCCGCGGUAAUACGUAGGGGGCAAGCGUUAUCCGGAUUUACUGGGUGUAAAGGGAGCGUAGACGGCAGGGCAAGUCUGAAGUGAAAGACCGGGGCUCAACCCCGGGGCUGCAUUUGAAACUGCUUUGCUGGAGUGCAGGAGAGGCAGGCGGAAUUCCUAGUGUAGCGGUGAAAUGCGUAGAUAUUAGGAGGAACACCAGUGGCGAAGGCGGCCUGCUGGACUGAUACUGACACUGAGGCACGAAAGCGUGGGGAGCAAACAGGAUUAGAUACCCUGGUAGU